rnacentral:rRNA from 1 species
GAGUUUGAUCUUGGCUCAGGAUGAACGCUGGCGGCGUGCCUAAUACAUGCAAGUCGAGCGAGCGGACGAGAAGCUUGCUUCUCUGAUGUUAGCGGCGGACGGGCGAGUAACACGUGGAUAACCUACCUAUAAGACUGGGAUAACUUCGGGAAACCGGAGCUAAUACCGGAUAAUAUUUUGAACCGCAUGGUUCAAAAGUGAAAGACGGUCUUGCUGUCACUUAUAGAUGGAUCCGCGCUGCAUUAGCUAGUUGGUAAGGUAACGGCUUACCAAGGCAACGAUGCAUAGCCGACCUGAGAGGGUGAUCGGCCACACUGGAACUGAGACACGGUCCAGACUCCUACGGGAGGCAGCAGUAGGGAAUCUUCCGCAAUGGGCGAAAGCCUGACGGAGCAACGCCGCGUGAGUGAUGAAGGUCUUCGGAUCGUAAAACUCUGUUAUUAGGGAAGAACAUAUGUGUAAGUAACUGUGCACAUCUUGACGGUGCCUAAUCAGAAAGCCACGGCU